rnacentral:tRNA from 1 species
GCUCAGUAGGUUAAAUGUCUGACUUCGGCUCAGGUCAUGAUCUCACGGUUCGUGGGUUCAAGCCCCACAUUGAGCU